AUAAGAAAGUAAGCAAGGGCAGACGGUGGAUGCCUUGGCUCUCGGAGGCGACGAAGGACGUGAUAAGCUGCGAUAAGCUGGGGGGAGAUGCAAAUAAUCUUUGAUCCUCAGAUUUCCGAAUGGGGCAACCCGGCAGGUUGAAGGCCUGUCAUCCCGUAAGGGAGGCGAACGUGGGGAACUGAAACAUCUAAGUACCCAUAGGAGGAGAAAAUAAGAAUGAUUCCGCAAGUAGUGGCGAGCGAACGCGGAAGAGCCCAAACCGGUAUUGUUUAGGCAAUACCGGGGUUGUAGGACCACGUUGUGGCAAGAACUUAGGAAAGUGGAACACUUUGGAAAAAGUGAUCGUAGAGGGUGAAAAUCCCGUACACGACUUUCUAACGAAGCCUAGUGGUAUCCUGAGUAGCGCGGAGCACGAGAAAUUCUGUGUGAAUUAGCGGGGCCCAUCCCGUAAGGCUAAAUACUCCCGAGAGACCGAUAGCGAACCAGUACCGUGAGGGAAAGGUGAAAAGAACCUCGAACAGAGGAGUGAAAUAGACCCUGAACCCGUCUGCCUACAAGCGGUCGGAGCAACGUAAGUUGUGACGGCGUGCCUUUUGCAUAAUGAACCUACGAGUUACUUUCUCCGGCAAGGUUAAGUAUUUCAGAUACGGAGCCGAAGCGAAAGCGAGUCUGAACAGGGCGACAUAGUCGGAGGGAGUAGACGCGAAACCAAGUGAUCUACCCAUGGUCAGGUUGAAGGUUAGGUAACACUAACUGGAGGACCGAACCGGUAAGCGUUGAAAAGCUUUCGGAUGAACUGUGGGUAGGGGUGAAAGGCUAAUCAAACUUGGAGAUAGCUCGUACUCCCCGAAAUGCAUUUAGGUGCAGCCUUUAUUUAGUAUAGCAUGAGGUAGAGCGACUGAUUGGAUGCGAGGGCUUCACCGCCUAUCAAGUCCAGAUAAACUCCGAAUGCGUGCUAUAUAUUGAUAAGGAGUGAGGGCGCGGGUGCUAAGGUCCGCGUCCGAGAGGAGAAGAAUCCAGACCAUCAGCUAAGGUCCCCAAAUAACAGUUAAGUUGAACUAACGAAGUCAGACUGCAGAGACAGCUAGGAUGUUGGCUUGGAAGCAGCCAUUCAUUUAAAGAGUGCGUAACAGCUCACUAGUCGAGGAGUUUGGCGUGGAUAAUACUCGGGCAUAAACUGUUUACCGAAGCUAUGGAUCCAGAGUAAUGGAUGGUAGGGGAGCAUUCCAGUGGCGUUGAAGGUGAGGGAUAACCCUUGCUGGAGUAGCUGGAAAAGCAAAUGUAGGUAUAAGUAACGAUAAAGGAAGUGAGAAACUUCCUCGCCGAAAGACUAAGGUUUCCUGAUCAACGUUAAUCGGAUCAGGGUAAGUCGGGACCUAAGGAUAAGCCGAACGGCGAUUCCGAUGGAAGAAUGGUUUAAUAUUCCCAUACUACUUUAUAGAGCGAUGUGGAGACGGAGAAGUGACAGUCCUGCCAACUGACGGAAUAGUUGGUUAAAGGGUGUAGACGUUGAUCGCGGUAGGCAAAUCCGCCGUGAGAGUCGAACCUGAGAGUAUGCCGAGUACUUGUACAAGGCAAUAUGGAUGUAAACAGGCUCCCUAGAAAAUCCGCUAAGCAUAUCUAUAGAGUACCCGUACCGUAAACGGACACACGUAGUUGGGUUGAGAAUACUGAGGCGCUCGAGUGAUUCACGGUUAAGGAACUAGGCAAAUUGACCCUGUAACUUCGGGAUAAAGGGUCCCUGUCAGCGAUGGCGGGGCGCAGAGAAUAGGUCCAGGCAACUGUUUAACAAAAACACAUGGCUGUGCGAAAUAGAAAUAUGAAGUAUACAGCCUGACACCUGCCCGGUGCUGGAAGGUUAAGAGGAGAGCUCAUCGCAAGAGAAGGUUUGAAUUGAAGCCCCAGUAAACGGCGGCCGUAACUAUAACGGUCCUAAGGUAGCGAAAUUCCUUGUCGGGUAAGUUCCGACCUGCACGAAUGG
rnacentral:rRNA from 1 species